rnacentral:rRNA from 1 species
UACGUAGGGUGCGAGCGUUAAUCGGAAUUACUGGGCGUAAAGCGUGCGCAGGCGGUUUUGUAAGACGGAUGUGAAAUCCCCGGGCUUAACCUGGGAACUGCAUUUGUGACUGCAAGACUAGAGUGUGUCAGAUGGAGGUGGAAUUCCGCGUGUAGCAGUGAAAUGCGUAGAGAUGCGGAAGAACACCGAUGGCGAAGGCAGCCUCCUGGGAUAACACUGACGCUCAGGCACGAAAGCGUGGGGAGCAAACAGGAUUAGGUACCCUGGUAGUCCACGCCCUAAACGAUGUCAACUAGUUGUUGGGGAUUCAUUUCCUUAGUAACGUAGCUAACGCGUGAAGUCGACCGCCUGGGGAGUAUGGCCGCAAGGUUAAAACUCAAAGGAAUUGACGGGGACCCGCACAAGCGGUGGAUGAUGUGGAUUAAUUCGAUGCAACGCGAAAAACCUUACCUACCCUUGACAUGUCGAGAACUUUUCAGAGAUGAAUUGGUGCCCGAAAGGGAACUCGAACACAGGUGCUGCAUGGCUGUCGUCAGCUCGUGUCGUGAGAUGUUGGGUUAAGUCCCGCAACGAGCGCAACCCUUGUCCUUAGUUGCUACGCAAGAGCACUCUAAGGAUACUGCCGGUGACAAACCGGAGGAAGGUGGGGAUGACGUCAAGUCCUCAUGGCCCUUAUGGGUAGGGCUUCACACGUCAUACAAUGGUCGGUACAGAGGGUCGCCAACCCGCGAGGGGGAGCCAAUCCCAUAAAACCGAUCGUAGUCCGGAUUGCAGUCUGCAACUCGACUGCAUGAAGUCGGAAUCGCUAGUAAUCGCGGAUCAGCAUGUCGCGGUGAAUACGUUCCCGGGUCU